rnacentral:rRNA from 1 species
CACUCUUACUGAGAAUAGCCCCUCGAAAGAGGGAUUAAUACUCCGUAACAUAUUGAUAAGGCAUCUUAUUAAUAUUAUAGCUCCGGCGGUUAAAGAUGGGCGUGCGCCUGAUUAGAUAGUUGGCGGGGUAACGGCCCACCAAGUCUGCGAUCAGUAACUGGUGUGAGAGCACGACCAGUCACACGGGCACUGAGACACGGGCCCG